rnacentral:rRNA from 1 species
CCCCUCGUUGCCAUGGGCGAGCCUGAUGCAGCGACGCCGCGUGAGGGAUGACGGCCUUCGGGUUGUAAACCUCUUUCAGCAGGGAAGAAGCGAAAGUGACGGUACCUGCAGAAGAAGCGCCGGCUAACUACGUGCCAGCAGCCGCGGUAAUACGUAGGGCGCAAGCGUUGUCCGGAAUUAUUGGGCGUAAAGAGCUCGUAGGCGGCUUGUCACGUCGGUUGUGAAAGCCCGGGGCUUAACCCCGGGUCUGCAGUCGAUACGGGCAGGCUAGAGUUCGGUAGGGGAGAUCGGAAUUCCUGGUGUAGCGGUGAAAUGCGCAGAUAUCAGGAGGAACACCGGUGGCGAAGGCGGAUCUCUGGGCCGAUACUGACGCUGAGGAGCGAAAGCGUGGGGAGCGAACAGGAUUAGAUACCCUGGUAGUCCACGCCGUAAACGGUGGGCACUAGGUGUGGGCAACAUUCCACGUUGUCCGUGCCGCAGCUAACGCAUUAAGUGCCCCGCCUGGGGAGUACGGCCGCAAGGCUAAAACUAAAGGGGAAUUGACGGAUUU